rnacentral:lncRNA from 1 species
CCUGCCCGCAGACAUAUCCCCUCACGCGACCUGAGACGUGGUCUCCCAUUCCGGUUAUGGUGGGUACAAGUGCGGUCACUGCACGACGAUAGUCGGGGUCAGUGAGGCAUUGUACGCCAAGGCGGUGAGCCCUGAUCUGUUGCCAGGGAAUCGACGGGGACGGUUGAUGUGUGUGGGGACGGAGUGCCUCGCCACGUCGUGUGUUUAGGUUUACCUUGCAAGGAUAAAAACUCGAUUCGAAUCGUCUGCUUCUCGCAGCUAAUGAGACUGCUUGAUCCAUUGUACUGCAUUGAGUAAUAAGUGGAAAUGAGGUGACUGGCAAAAGAUGUUGAUUGAUAAAAUGUUUGAUACCAUGUAUGACUAGCUAGGUACACAUCUAGUUUAAAAAGGGUCUUACUAAAACUUGAAAAGCUAAAACUUGAUUUUAGACUCAGCUAGUGCUUUUGGCAAACCAAACCACUCAGCCAAAUAGCUGCAUGUCUAGAGAUAGAGGAGUAGACUCCUCACACCAGGUAAGUCUAGCUGAGUAUUAGUAUACUCAGCCUUGCUUGUGGCAUAAUUUUUGUAGGUACUCCUUAGGAUGAUUGGUUGAUGGUGUGACUUGGCAUCCAUCCCUGCCACCGGGAUAGACGAUCAAGUGGGUUAUUGCUUCCGCAGGAGAGGACCAGGAGGGGUAGCGUGGCCCGGCUUCGCCAUGUUACUCGGUUUUCUCCGUUAGUUAUUUUCCGCUGCAUUAAAAUUUAUGAUUAUUAUUUCUUAAACUCCAAUAAUGUAAUCACUAAUGAUACUUAUUAAGUUUGUGGUGUUAUGUUUUAUUGUAUUUCUCUGUGCCUCACCUUCAUGUGAGCUAGUGGUAUUCGAUCCUGGUAAGUGGCUUUAUCGGACUAGAUCCGAGGGACUGACGGGUUAUUCCUGUUUAAGUGUGUUGCUGCCCUUAAGGGUGCGACUUGGGCACUUAAGCUGGAAUAAUUCGGGCGGUUCCGCCACAGCUGGUAUCGGAGCAAAUACCAGUAUAGAGAAGUCAAUAAGUCAUGAUUUCCAAUCUUUUCUAAUGUAAAACUUGCUUAGAAACCAAAGUUGGAUAGAUAUCAGGACGAUAAGUUAGACCUAGGACGUGAAGCCCUAGGAAUAGAUGGGUAGCUAGGUGGCUAGUUAUUUAGGCCAUAAAGGCUACUACUACUAUUAAUAAGGAUGUUGUAGAAGCACCCAAAAAUUAGUUAGGUCUGAGAAGACGACUAGAAUGAGCAUGCAUCAUGAUUGUCGCAUUAUAAUUUUCUCUUGUGCAUCAAUAUGCUUCUCUCACCUUUAUUCCAAUAAUAAGAACUUGUGAAUAAUGUGAUGUACUGCUAUGUUAGAAAUGCCUUACCUCAUGUCAGAUUGGUAAGUCUUGUUAGGUUGUGUUAUGUGUUUCUCUUGCCUUGCUAUCUAGGUGGUAUUGAAAUUGUUCAACCCUUUUUGCAAAAAAAAUGUUGUUUGUUUCCUCAUAAAAAGACCCCACCCAAACAACCUUGAGUUUAGCAAGUGAAACCUCUUUAAAAAAAAUCCUGCUUGUGUUGGUAUUUUCUAGCCCUUGAGUUUUACCCUUAACGUUGCACCUGCACAACUUGUAAACUCCCAUAACUUGACCGCUAGACCAACCCAAGUCUCCUUGUGCACUUGUUGUGUCAAUUUUUUUUGUUGUUGGUGUCUAGUUGCGCAAACCCUAUCAAGGUCAUGUUUCUUUCCAUAAAUCCUUGCCCCUAAAACUUCAUAGCAUUUCUGUUGAUCAUCCUAGCUGAUCCUGUUUGCCUACCUCUCCUUUGGCCUGGAUCUGGUAAUCCUUUUUCUUGUGAAUCAUGUUGGCUUUAUCAUCCGAAUCUCGGGAUCCCCUAUGAUUCUGCCCUAUUAUCUGGUUAUCCGCUAUAACCCAUUCUCAAGUAUCGGAUGUCGAUCAAUCUAAUCUCUCAUUUCUAGUCUUUCCGAUGUUCUUUCUCUAGGCAUCAUGACGUUGUUUUUGCCAACCUUAUCUUUAAAUGGCAUAUCCAUGUGGAUUAAUGGAUUUCGUUGUUGUCCUUGGUUCUCUCAUGUCUCUAAAAGCUCAACAAUCUAUUUUGAUCUCAUGGUCGGUUCAUCCUCAUAUCAAAUCUCGUGCUAAUAUCUGAUCUGAUAAUCUCCAUGUUGAUCAUAAAAUGGUUCUCUGAGUUGAAGAAAAUUCUCACGUGAUGCUCUUUUUGCCAGCAAUCUCUGCUUCAACUCCGAUCACAUUCUUAUUUUCUGAGCCAUACUCUCAUGGGCUCCAUCUAUCUGUGCUAUGUGGAUUUCUCAUUGGUUGCAUUUGGUAAUGGUGUCAUGACUAACGACCGAUGGUGCCGCGACAAAACCGAGAGCCUCCUGUGGGCGUGCACACACGGUUGAGCUACUCGGCACGCGCUGGUACCGCGGUUAAUAGUCGUGAUCCAUUAUGGGACUAUACCGAUGUCCUCUCUUUUGUGAACAUCCUCUCAAAGUGAUCGCUGCAUUUUGUCUCAACAUGCCGCGAUAUUCUAUCCAAAUCUAUCUUCCGUAUCUUGUCAGAUCCCCUCUCCUGAAUUUGCAUCUAUCUCCAGCCUGGGAGUUACAUGCUUCUCCACCCUUAAAGAUCCUCAUUCGAAUCUCGGGACGAGAUUCUUUUUAAGGGGGGGAAGGCUGUGACACCCCAGGUGUCAGUUUCGUGUUACGCCGAGAGAUUUAUCCUAAUCUCAGAUGCUCAGUAAAAAAAAUUCUAUUUCUCGAUCAUGUCUAUCUCUGUUUAUCAGGCUUUCUCAUGGAAGUUCACCGAAUUCAGAGUUAUUCGAUCGCAAGAAACAACCAAAUUUGGAGCCUGUUAAAACUUUUAUUUCUCGGAACGAAUGCAAACUCAAAAAUCAUUCUCGAAAUUUAAAUCUCAUCUGAAGCUCAUUUAAUCAAACUCUCGACGACUGUUAUUUGAUCUGAGCCCGAGUCUAAUCCCUCGAACCUCGAUCAAUGUCCGACUAUUUUAAUCUGAGUCCGUACUCUCAAACAGAAUACUCAAUAUGUCGUCCUCUAAUCAAUUUUAUCUGACUCGGCUAAAUAUCUCAUGUCCGAACCGAACUCAAAACCCCGUAUCGACAGCAAUUUUAAAAUAUCACGAUUCGCCUUCUCCGACUAAAAAUCCAAAGCCGAUCAAAUCUCAGGAUGAUUUAUUUUCGAAUCACGCGUAGGGGAUUAUUUUCGAGCGAAAUCAAAUUAGACUCUCGGCUGAGUUAAUCGCUCAAUCGUCCGUUUGUCCGAACUAUAUUUCGCUCUGUUCUCUGUUGAGACGAAUUCCGCAGGAGCAUUUUUAUUCCGGAAAAUAUUUAGCGUAGCCCGAUUUCAUGUUUUGGGCCAAGCCCAACCCAACCCAUUAGGCCCACUAAAGAACCCUAACCCUAGCCAUUUUCUAUAAAUAGAGGUGUUCUCCCCCUUGCACUUGGCAAUUUUUCACUCCCACUCCUCUAUUCUUCCUAGCCGCCACCAGCAACUUCUUCUUCUCCUCGCUGUUUCUGGUGCGUACGCAGAGCUUCUUCCAUGGCUGGCCUCGCUUCCUCCCCACGGCAACAGCUCCCCAACCUUCCAUGGGCGUGCACCCCUCCUCCCCCUUCUUCUUCCUCAAGACAGCAUCCUCCUCCCUCCUUUCCCCCUAGUGCAGCAGCAAGGAACCCUUGCUCGGCCAGCAGCCACGGUGGCCAAGUCCCUGCGCCCUCCUCUGCCCAGUGCCCCUUCUCCAUGGCGUUCAGAGCAGGGAGCCUUUCUCCCCUGCGCGCAAGAGCUCCCUGGGCCAACCUCGGCGAGGUCCAUGUCCAUGGCGCGACGCAGCAGCUCCAUUUCUCCAGCAGCCAUGGCACCCUGUUCGCAUGCACGACCGAGUUUCAUUCCUCCACGACGCCCAGAAAUUCCUUGCAGCGGCUCCCUCCCUGGGACAGUGCCCCUGUUACCAUCUCCCGGCAGCGCAGCUCCUCGCAACCUAGUUUUCCCCGUAGCCCCACAACAGCGACGCGCCGUAGGUGUUCGACAAAAUGUGCAGCAAGCCACGCGCUGCAGCAGCCCUCCCGUUCGUUCUCCACUUCCCUCGUCGCAUGUCGUCGCUCUCAUGCUCGCUGCGCAGCCCCAUCUGCGACGCCGUCGAAACCCGUGGUGAGAAAACCCCAACUGCCCUUGCUGCUAUUUUUUUUUGUGUGCUCGGUAAAAAUGUUGAACUACUGUAUGUGUCUAAUCGCAGCUAGUGGUCAAUGUCGCGCUUCGUGCUUUGCCCGUUCAACGAAACGCCGAGCCGUGUGGACAACCCAUGUGACUAGUCUCGGUUCGUCCAGGUUGUUCACUUGGUAUUUUGUGGAUUAAUCUAUUUAAGCUUUGGUCGAUGUUGUGCAUGUGCGUAUAUGUGUAAGAAAAUGUAUUGGUAUGGAUUGAAGUUUGUGGCGAGGGAAAAAGAAGUAGAAAAGAACUCGAAUAUUUUUAUAUUUCGAUAGGAAUAUGUGCGAUGUGUUGUUUGAUGUGUGCGAUUUGUAGUGGUACAAUUAUAUUUUAGUCGAUGUGAUGUACAUUGGUGUUGGAAGGUGUGUGGGUAUAAAAUGUUUUGGUCAUAUGUCGUAGCAAGGUUGCCUUCACGUUUUGGUAAGCAAACAUGUUGUGUUGUUUAAUGUGAUGAGUAAAUUGGAAAUACAGGGGAUGCGAGGAUUUAAUUAGUGCACGUAGGUGUGUGUGUCGUGGUGUGAUAUAGUAGUGGUGGCAUGAGAUAUUUAUUUGAGGUGCGCGGGUAUAUGCCGUAAUAUGGUUAUACUCGCGGCGAGGAAAGAUGUAUGUAUUGUGUAACACAACGUUUAGGUUGCUAUUAUAUAAUCGUGUGAAGGAUGCUCAUGAUGGUUGUGUGAUCGAGGAGUGAUGUAGUGGCAAGCGAGAAGUAAGUUUAAUUUUUCAACGGUUAGUGGAUAGUAUCUGUCGGUGUUGUCAUGAUUUUUGUUGUAUGACAGAUCGAUGCUUAGCUUUAUAAAUUAUUGCAUUCCAUUCCCUUUGGAUAAAUAAAUGUCUUGUUGAUCGAUUAGAGGUCUUAUAUGAGCGUUAUCGCAAACCAAUAAUUAUUGGAGACGAGUAGCGUUCAUGAGUCAAUCCUUGCUAAAAUUGAAGAACAGUCCGAUAACAUAUGCACAUGGGUGUUGUAGGUCCUUCAGUAGCCAGUGUAAGUCUUACGGAGUUUUAGGCCAGGUGUUAAUGCCUCUAUGUUAGACCCCCUAAAAUAUGGUGUUUUAAGUGACUUGUGUGUUGUCCAGUUUAAGUUAAGAAAAGGUUAAGAAACAUUAAGUAACCAGUUCCCACCCAUGUUUUGAGUUGCGAUGUCUAAAAUGGUUCGGUAAGUCUUUUACUAUGAUUAGCAAGCUCAUGUUAAAUAGGAAUCGAUUUCGUUAAGUGUUCGUUAUAUAUGUGUUGUCCCGGAUUACGAUAAUAAGAGGCAAGCCGACGUGUAGGAUGUAUAGCGAUUUAUGUUGUUGCGCUAGUGAUUUACUUGUUGUAGUCUAAAUGUGCAUGGUUAUGAUCGCGGGUAAAAAUCUGUAGUGCUCAUGUGGUGUCUAAACUAAAAUGCGAACUAGUGGGUGAAAAGCGCUUUGAUAUACAUGUAUGCCGAAAUUGAUGAUUGUGGUGAAUGCGUUGAUUAAAUGUGUAUGUUAGUUCUAGCGCGCGAAAUAACUUGGAUGAAAAUUAGUGAGUCUACUUGUUAGUCCUCAUUUGAUUAAUUUAACUCUAACAAAUGGUAAAAUGUUAGAAUAAUUCAAGUCUCUAAAAACAUGGCGAUUCUUGAAUUAUAUGUGAGCUGAAAUUUAUUGAUUGCUGUUUUGGGCUGCACGCACUGUUUUAGUUGUGCUGUUUGUUUGAUGAACCAAAUCAUGUUUUCUGUAGAAAUGUCAUAUAGAAGAGUUGUAGAUAACAUUAUUAUCUUGCUUGUACUAAAAUUUGAUAGGCUAAAGUCUGAUCGUUUGGGAGUUAUGAUUUUUACAAAUUCAGUAACUGAAUCUGUCCAAAUUCUGUACAGAUUUCAGAAACUGCAUUGUUUGCUCAAUUUAAUUUUGCAAUAAGUUCAUUGUCGUUAUAAGAAAGUUGUAGAUGUUUUUGCUAUCUUGCUUGUGUUAAAAUUUCAUAACCAUAGGCCUUACAGUAUAGGAGUUAUGAAUUUUACAAACUGCUUGUUGUGUUCUGUCCACCGUCAGAACAGAUUUCGAAAACUGUGUUGUUCGAUUUAGUUAAACAUUGAAUCACUUCUUGGUGAUUAUAAAAGUUAUGUAGUGCUUUUGCUGAGCUUUCCCAAAAGUCCUAGAUCACUCUUUUUUGUGGCCUGAAGCUUAAGUUAUGAAUGUUUCAAAUAUGAAGACUGAAUCUGUCCAGUUCUGGACAGCAACGCCUUCUAGUGUCUUUUAUCCUUAAUUGCAUAUUGAAUCACCUUGAGAUGUUUAUAAAUAAUUUGUAGAACACUGAAUUAGCUUUCCAGAAAGUCUAGGAUCACCUUGUUUGGAUGUCUGAAUCUUUAGUUGUGAAUUUUUGAAGUUGCAAGUCUGAAUCGGUCUAAAUCUGGACAGAGCUGUUGUGUUGGCACUUUUUGACCUUGCUAAGUGUUGAAUUAUGCCGAAGUAAAAAUACCAAAGUUGUAGAGCCCUUUGUAAGCUUUCUAGAAAGUCCAAAUUUGCUAUUUUCGGGUUAAUAUUUGAAAAGUUAUGAUUAAAACAAGUAGCUGCUGUGUUGCUGUCCCGAAAAUCUGCAAAUGCGCUUUUGAUUGUUUAGUUCACCCUUCUCGCUAAAAAUAUUUGGUUUGCUCUUAAGUAAUAUAGACUUGCCAUGGCUAAGCUAGAGAUGACAUGUGUGUCUUGUUUUAUAUGUUUCUUUAUCUAGUGGUGCGAUAUAGGAGUUCCUUAGACAUUGACGCUUAUGUCCUCUAUUGAAUUUGUGUUGUCGAUGAUGCUUGUGCGCGAGCAAUAGGAGAACUAAUAAAAAGCCGUAUCCAAACAAAUAAAAUGUGCAUACCUGUAAUGUCAUAGUUGUGUUGCGUAAAUAAAUAAAAUGUUGUUGUCUUUUUAAAGGUAUUAAUAUUGGACGUCGAUAACGUGUAGAUAACUAAUGCUAGCGUAUGGUUGUUUACGGUGUCUUCUCAUUUAAAUAUUUAGUUCGUCACUGAGUCUUUGUAUAUCUGUGCUAUUUUUGUGCUCCUUUCAUUAUAUUCAUACAUAUGCAUCUUGCAUCUCAUUUAGGACCGAGAGAUGACGCUCAUGCAAGUGGUGUGGUGCCAACCACAAGAUGCCGUGGUGGAUGACCUGAAGAAUGAUGGACAUGACCCGUGGAUGCUCGCCAAGCGAGUACCCUCCCCCAGCAAACACUGUCUACGUGUUAAAUUAAAGGCAAGCCUCGGUUUUAUGCAUAACCUGUUCUAUAUGAUAUUUUACUACACUUAAUGUUUGUAGGCUUGUAUUGUGCACUUAAGUGUAGGAGUUGAUUGAAACCCUAGUUGCAUGAACUCAGGAAUCCUUGUUGAGAUGGAUACUAGUAUGCUAGGUCGAGUAGCUGCUUUGCUAAUUAGGGAUCUCGGUAGAAGUCGAGUGAUUUUUCUAGCACUCGCGCGAGGUCAGGAAAUUGGUUGUACCCACUUUCAUAUCAUAUUGAUGAUUGGUCUGUGGACACGGAUCCAUGGGGAUGCGUGGUCUACGAGAUGAAAUUGGAAUAAGGAUUAACGUGCGGAUACCUGUGUCAAGCGUUUGAAUGUACUAAACAUAUGCCGAGAAAUAUGGUAAAUCGAUAAGCCUAGUACCUAAUUGAACCUGCCCGCAGACAUAUCCCCUCACGCGACCUGAGACGUGGUCUCCCAUUCCGGUUAUGGUGGGUACAAGUGCGGUCACUGCACGACGGCAGUCGGGGUCAGUGAGGCAUUGUACGCCAAGGCGGUGAGCCCUGAUCUGUUGCCAGGGAAUCGACGGGGACGGUUGAUGUGUGUGGGGACGGAGUGCCUUGCCACGUCGUGUGUUUAGGUUUACCUUGCAAGGAUAAAAACUCGAUUCGAAUCGUCUGCUUCUCGCAGCUAAUGAGACUGCUUGAUCCAUUGUACUGCAUUGAGUA